ACGGCUCAGUAACACGUGGAUAACAUGCCCUAAGGUGGGGGAUAAUCUCGGGAAACUGAGGAUAAUACCCCAUAGAUCUAGAGUGCUGGAAUGCCUUUAGGUCGAAAACUCCGGUGCCUUAGGAUUGGUCUGCGGUCUAUCAGGCUGUAGUGGGUGUAAUGGACCCACUAGCCCGUGACGGAUAUGGGCCUUGAGAGAGGGUGCCCAGAGAUGGACUCUGAGACAUGAGUCCAGGCCCUACGGGGCGCAGCAGUCGCGAAAACUUCGCAAUGGGGGAAACCCCGACGAGGGAAUUCCAAGUGCUAGCACUUUGUGUUAGCUGUUCUUCUGUCUAAAAAACAGGAGAAGUAAGGGGCGGGUAAGACGGGUGUCAGCCGCCGCGGUAAUACCCGCGCCCCGAGUGGUGGUCGAUAUUAUUGAGCCUAAAACGUUCGUAGCCGGUCUUCUAAAUCCUUGGGUAAAUCGGGCAGCUUAACUGUCCGAAUUCCGGGGAGACUGGGAGACUUGGGACCGGGAGAGGUCAGAGGUACUUCUGGGGUAGGGGUAAAAUCCUGUAAUCCUGGAAGGACCACCGGUGGUGAAGGCGUCUGACUAGAACGGAUCCGACGGUGAGGAACGAAGCCCUGGGGCGCAAACGGGAUUAGAUACCCCGGUAGUCCAGGGUGUAAACGCUGCGGGCUUGGUGUUGGGGGUCCUUAGUGGGCGCCCAGUGCCGGAGAGAAGUUGUUAAGCCUGCUGCUUGGGGAGUAUGUCCGCAAGGAUGAAACUUAAAGGAAUUGGCGGGGGAGCAC
rnacentral:rRNA from 1 species